rnacentral:lncRNA from 1 species
UCACACAAAACGACCAACUCCAUACACAACAAACAACCACCGAAAAACCAGCGACUCUCACCAGCUUCUUAGUCGUUAUCAGCAUUCAUCAGACCACCUUUCUCGCCGCAAACUAGCACCAAUGUACGCCAAGUCAGCUUUAGAAAACUCAGUUGAAACGCAGCAUAUUUCAGCCCCAAAACUCGCCAAAAACUAGUCAAACCGCAACAAUAGCCUCCUCAGAAAUAGCCCUUGAAUCUCAGCUAAAAUCUGCUGUAACAGUGCCCAAAACACCAUCACAAAUUUGAGUUAAGUUGAGGAGAAGUCCGGUUUCAAAUCCGAGUUCCGAUCAUUCCAGACCGUUUGAUUCAACUUUACAUUGCGAACUGAGGUUUAUUUCUUCUCUCUGCUAUUUUGCUUAGUAUUAGGCUUGUAUUGUGUCAUAAUUCUGUUGUUGCUCUGUUUUGCUGAAGGCUUUCGUUUCACUACUCUCUGUUGAUGACUUGAUGCUGCAUUUUUUUUUGUUAAUUGAUUUGCUUAUAGUCUGAAUGGUUAGAUAAGUUGAAUUGCUCAUUUCAAUUAUUCAUUAAGAUAUGGAUGUUUAAGGUUUUGAGUAACAUUUUGGUAAUUCUAGAGUUAAAUUAAUUUGUUAAUUGAAUUGGGUGAUGAGAUAAAUAGAAAAACAAGUAUAUGACUAGGGAUUGGAUUGAAACUUAAAAGUUAAUUGCAAUAUUUUUGCUGCUCUUUUAAUAAAUUGAAUUGGUAGGAGAGCACACUUAGGUAGAAAAACCUUAAAAUUCUUUCUAGUUUCGAGGCGAGAGGUCGUUUCCGUAGUAAAUUUAUUUUGAGAUGCUCCGUGGAGUUUGUAUAUAUUAUUAUCCGGGGUAUGCCCCGAAGAACUAUGUAAAUAUUUUGGAGGCCUUGGCGAGCAUGGUGGAGAAGUCAUGGUAGGUUAGCUUAGGAUUUUUCUUUUCAUUUCCUUUUCAUUUUCUUUUAUUUAGGUGGGGACGACCUCGAGCCUCUGGUGUGUUCACUUUAUUUCUGUGUGUUUUACCUCAAUUUGAAUGUUCUAAAAGCCAACUUGAUCAUGUACGCAACCAUGACUUUUGCGAGACUUGGGGAGUGCCUAACACCUUCUCCCCAAGUCAAAUGAACCUCCUUACCCAAAUCUCUGGUUUAGACUUACUUUUAGAGUCUGAAAUAUUUCAAAAGGAAAGAUCAUUUUUAUAAAUAUGGUGACCUGGCACACCGAAAUCAAAGUCAGGUGGCGACUCUAAGUUUAUUUCUUUUUGAACAACAAUUUUGUCACUUUUCAAAUGGAAAAUCCUUUUCGAGCUUUACUAAAUCUUUUUUUAUUUAAGAGGGUUUAGUGUGAGGCUUGGUUAAAAAUGGGUGUGACAUCUCUGACGACUCUGCUUGGGAAUUUGCAGGUUCGAGCUAGUACUUGGUCUGGUUGGCUUUUAGGAUAUUAGGUUGAGGUUUUUAUUAGUUUGUUUGCUUUAUUUGAUUCUUAUUUUUUAUGCCUUUUAUUAUUUUCUAGCUACUUGUUUGUUAAUAGUUUUUGUUUUAUGUAUUUACUGCUUUAUAACUGUCAUCAUUUGCAUAACCCUGAGUCUUCUUUCUGUAACAAGUCUUCUGAAGUACGUUUGAGUGUACACAGCAUUUUUAUGAGUCAUCCGUGUCUUUAUGGGAUGGCGUGGGAGCGUGGAGUGGGCGGACAGCUAAAGCAGCCGCCAUAGACCACGAUCCGCCCUGAAUUGCCUUGUCUAGUGAACCCCAAUCGUAGGUCAGCCUUUAGGUCAUACAUAUGUGCAUCAUAUCAUUUAAACCUAGCAGUGUUCGGUCUCAGGCACCGUAUCCCGUCGUAGGAGACAUAUCCAAAUUAUGUCAAAAAUGGGUUUAUGGCCCAAAAAAGACAUUCAAUCAUUCUUAUGUGAUACAUGUUGCACCUAUUCAUGCGCAGCUUUUACUAGGGCAUGAUGUUGAACUUUCGACAUCGUUGAAGCAAGUCCCUGUUCAUUAGGAUGGACGAUAAGGAUAGUCAACACCUUUGGCUCGACUUCCUUUUUUUCAAGACCGGGCCCAUCGUGGCAAAUGUCAUAAACUUUCCCCAAGAUUGGAACCGUACUUGUAAGUAUUUGUACUCAUCUUUUCUUAU